AUUAAUCUUCCAUGUAAGACUUGGAUCUGUCAGCAACAAUGCUUAGUAGCGUUUGAGAUACUAACUUUUUUUUCCCAAAUAGUAUUGUGAAAGACAUUGAGAACAUGGUUCGCUCCUACAUUGAGAAGAUGGCAUUGUUGUUGCAACGGUUGAUGUGAUUCAUAUCACUCGUGUGGCAGUGGCGACAGCUAGUCAGGUUUAGAAGAAAAGAAGGAAGCUUUGAGGAGGAGUGCUCAAGCUCAAUCCCAAACUGCAUCAUAAUUGUUCUGAUUAAAGAUGGCAAAAUGGGCCAUGGCCUAUGAGCCGACCCGUUGGCCCGCCAAUUUUUGGUGAGUCAGGCCCAUCAUUCUAACCAGUCAAGCCCGCCUCACCAAGCCCACAAACUCACCAGGCCAAAUGACGGGCUGACCCGUCACAACCUGCCAGCCCGCAUUUGAGGUUCCAGUUAAAAAAUAGUAAUUUAUAAGUUUAUAAUUUAAUUUUGUUGUAAGUGGACUAAUUUUUAUUUGAUUUUAUUGUAAGUUUGUAAUUUACUUUUUGUUGAACAUAUAU